CUCCUUUCUAAAAAAAUAUUCUGCACUUGCGCGAAAACUGGUGGGCGGUAAGGAAAUGUUUUCAACCAAAAAGAUGCAUUAAUGGGCGGUAGGUAGAAAAAGGUUGACUACCACUGAUUUAGAUUGUGAGGUCAUUUAGGCAGGGCCCUCUUCACAUAUUAUUCCUGUGUAUCAUACAUGUUUUGUUAGAAUUAAAUGUUUGUCUUGUUUCCUAUUGUACAGCACUGUGGAAUAUGCUGGCGCUAUAUACAUUGUAUCUGCCAUUGAGGGUCAUUAGUUGGGGCUCUUUAUAGUAACAUGGUAAAGCUAUCAGUAUUUCAGCUAACAGACUGAAUUUACAUGGUAUCAAAAAUCCAGAUUAUUUAUUUAUUUUUAGGAAUCUGGAAUACAAACAGCAGCAAAGGAUUAGAUUACCUUCGGCACUCCAGUUGUUUUGGACUACAACUCCCAUGAUGCUUUGUCAGCAUUAUGGUUCUAAGAGCAUUAUGGGGGAUGUAGUCCACAACAUCAGGAGUGUCGAUGGUUGCAUAUCCUAGGAUUUCUACACACCUUUAUAAAAAUAAGAGAAUACAUGUAGCCUACACUUCUAGAGUCAUAUGAGAUGCUGUAAAACACAGCCCUUGAGGUAUGUUCAUAUAACCCGCUUCGCAUUUUAAAUAAUCAGCAGGGCUUUUAAAGUUAACACCGUGAUAUUGUAAAGUGCUGCGGAAUACGUUUUUGCUAGAUAAAAUGUCUAAACUAAUCAUAACUACAACCUAUCGUUCCUGUAAGUUUUCUUGUAAUUGUCCGAUUUCUAGUUACAUCCCCCCCUCAUAAUAUUGUAAAGCGCUACGGAAUCUGUUGGCG